UACGUAGGGGGCAAGCGUUGUCCGGAAUCAUUGGGCGUAAAGAGCGUGUAGGCGGCUCGGUAAGUCCGCUGUGAAAGCCCCGGGCUCAACCUGGGAAUGGCGAUGGAUACUGGCUCGCUAGAGUGCGGUAGAGGAGAGUGGAAUUCCCGGUGUAGCAGUGAAAUGCGUAGAGAUCGGGAGGAACAUCAGUUGCGAAGGCGGCUCUCUGGACCAGCACUGACACUGAGGCACGAAAGCGUGGGGAGCAAACAGG
rnacentral:rRNA from 1 species